CAUUAUCCUCUUUGUCAACAUUCUCUGUUAAGAAAUCCUCAGUUCCUCAUAGAUUUGUGAGUACUGCUUGGAACAAUAUAUGGCUUCUCUGUCAUUUGAUGCUCCUGUACAGAUUUUAUACCCAAAGCAUUUUGAGUGUCAAUUAUCCAUUGCAAUGUGAUGUCAAGUUUUCAAAUGAGUUUACCUUGGUGGCUGGCUAGAGAAAGAUGCUUGAAAUAAUAGUUAGCACUGUAAGCAUUUUUUCCCUGAGAGGAAAUUUAUGUGGCAAAAUAAAAUGAAAUAGGUGUACAAAAAAGGAACAAUUCAAAUAUAAUGUCUCUGUAAUGUCUUUUGGCAAAACAUGCAAUACGUUCAUAUUUUAAACCUGAUGUUUAUGACUCAUAAAGUGUAACGAUGGUCCACUGAGCUCAUAUAUAUGGGAAGUGGAUAUAAUCAACCAGCACAUAGAAAAUCAACUGUACAAAACCUGUAAAAAAAAAAACUGCCUAGAGGAUAACAAACCAUUCUCCCUGAAAAUUUAUAACUUGUAUAGUUUGUGAUGUGGUAUUACCAAUUAUACACAAAUCCUAACUUUAAGAAAUUCAAAUAAUCGUUGAUUAAGCUUCCAUUAGGAACAGUGCUUGUUGGAAAGGGGCUUUUGUCACUGUUAUUCUCCCCAGGGCUAAUGAAUGACCAAACUGAGACACACACAGAGGUGAUCAGGUGAAGAAUAAGACAUUUGCAUCUAGCCAAAGUCCUUGCUUCUAAUGGUAAGGUGGGUGUCAUUUGAAGUCUAUCUCCAAUUUUAUUUCUGCACCACCUGGAGAGCUUUUUAUCAAAUGGUUUAUAAAUCUUCUAAAUAAAUAAUAAAAAGUAACCCACUUCGGAUCUUAGGUAGUUUAUUGUUCAGCAGCAGUCUGCAACUAAAGGUUUAGGGCUCACAACACAAGUACAACACCCAUGCAGAGAAUUCAGGUUCUGGAAGAAUAUUUCAUGUAUUUACAAUGUGUGCAUAGUAAAAGCAGAUCAUCCAUUGAAUCUUCUUAUCACUGAAAAGUAGUGUUCAGGUUGGAAGUGGAAAAUGUACUGUCACCACCACUGUGGAGUAAUAGUACACUGGUCUUUAAGAGUGGUUGAUACGAGAGAGACGUGACUGAGAUUGGUUGUUACUUAGCAAGGAAGAAUAGAGAGAGAUCCCUGCAGCACAGUAAAUGUUGUCUUUAUAAGUUAACAAUAUUAUUUUCUUAAACAUCAGAAGCCUGAUUUAUUAACAGAGAAAGCAGCAUAAGCCCCAUUAUCACCUCCUUUAAAUUAUGCACAGCAUAAUCUACUGUUAAAAUGCUGCUGCCAUCAUUGUGUUUGAUUUAAUUCCAUUAUCAGUUGAGCAACCUCAAAGUAUAAUUAUUAAUAAAUGUGAUAUGUUCCUGUUUAUUGUACAAUAUACCAGUGAACAGCUGGAAAUGCCAUUCCUUAGAAGAGCUGACUCCUACUAUUCUCUAAUAAUAUUUAUUUGUUCUUUUCUUACAUUUGCCUUGAUUUAGAAUAAACUCCCCAGAUAUUUCCUGGUGGGGUUUCUCUUCCCUGCUGAUGACCCUGCCCACCCACCUUUAUGCAGAGAACCACCAGGAACCCAACUGAACAUGCUUUCUGAAAUUAAAAAAAGGAGGAAGAUCAAUAUCUAGGUAUUGUCAGUAGCAGCUGUUCACUAUUUAUCACAAAGACUUUGACUGAAUUUGUAGCAUGUGUAACACAGAACUAAUUAGAAAUGUUCAUUCUCUAUAAAAUCCUGGUAAUUAGUGACAUGGGGGUUACUAAUUUAAUUGGCAGAAUUGAAUUUAACAGAGAAUUGGCAGAUCUGGUUCUAGAGGUUUAAUUACAUGGAAAAUACAGGUAUUUGUUUGAUGAGUGGACUAUGUUACUUUAUUCUAUGAUAUGCAAAAAUUACCCAUAUUUAUUUAGUUAUUAGCUCAUUGGUUAAAAUAUUUCCUUAUCAUGAGUCCUGACAAUAGGCUUCACCUCCAGGCUCUGCCAUGCCUCUUUUUCAUUUUUCUAUGGCUGAUAACCAGAUGACUGAUGCCUCCUCCAAGGAAAAAGGAAGGCAUACUAACUGAGAGUGUCACAAGAAUCACACAUGAAACACCAAGGCUUAAGUGCCAGGAAAGUCCCUAUUGCACAUUGUGAUGUCUGGAAGUUUGGCUUUGGCUUGGAAUGAGACCCAUGAUGGGAAUGUAGAAUUUAUGGGGUCUAACCUAUUCAAAAGGAAUCCAGAGAUUUCCAACCAGUAGAUCGCGAUCUACCGGUAGAUUCCCAGCUGAUCCUAGUAGAUCAUGGGAUCCUUAUUGUGUAUAAAAAGUUACGGGGGGAAGCAAAAACAACAACUCUGUGCAAGCCUACCCCCAAAAAAAGCUUGACAACUCUGGGCAAUCCACUCACCCCAUGCACGCUCNNNNNNNNNNNNNNNNNNNNNNNNNNNNNNNNNNNNNNNNNNNNNNNNNNNNNNNNNNNNNNNNNNNNNNNNNNNNNNNNNNNNNNNNNNNNNNNNNNNNAUAAGUGAGAUAAAAGCUUCUUUCCACGACUCUGGUGCCUUUUUCCCUCCAAAAUUUCAUUACAUACUUCCUUCAGUGGUUGUACUAACCAUUCCUUCAACACUUUAUAGUAUCUGGCGGUCAAACCAUCUGGUCCUGGAGCUUUUCCCAAUUGCAUCUUCUGAAUGGCACCCUCUAUUUCUUGUCCUGUUAUUUUCUCAUUCAAAAUCCUUCUGCUUUGCUCUGAAAUUUUUGGUAAUCCAUGUUUCUUAACAAAUUCUUCUAUUUCCUGUUCAUUAACUGGCCCUUGUGCAUAUAAUUUCCUGAAAUAACCUUGAAAACAAUUACUUAUCUCAUUUGGUUUGUGGAUAAUCUUUCCGUCCACUUCUAAACUUGUCACAGUGUUCAAUUUUUGCCUCUUUUUCAAUUGCCAUGACAGAAAUUUCCCACAUUUAUCUGCUGAUUCAAAUGUCUUUUGUCUCAUUUGCUUUAUUUUCCAUUCUAUCUCUUGAUUCAUCAAUUCCAUAUAUUGCACCUGAUAGUACUUUAUUUCUUUCAGAAUCUCAUGAGACUUUGGUUUAGACCUCAAUUUCUUUUCACCUUCUUUUAUUUUUUCCAGAAUUUUUCCUUUCCUUUCAUUUUGAUUUUUCCUUUUUAUGGAGUUCUGUUGUAUUAGGAAACCUCGCAUCACGGCCUUACUUGCGUCCCAAAUUAUUCUUUUUCCACUUCUGUUCUCAAAUUUAUCUCAAAAUAAUCUUUCACUGUUUUUGGGCCUUCUUAUAAAUCUCUUCAUCCCUGAAUAGGGUGUCAUUCAUUCUCCAUCUGAAGGAUCCAGUUGUUGUAAGUUUCAUCUCCAUCUUUACAGCAUUAUGGUCGGAGCAAGUCUUUGAGCAGAUUUCUACCUUUUUAAUCCUUGGCGCCAUACUGCUAGUUACCCAAAUUUGGUCAAUUCUUGUCCAUGUCAUUUUUGCUUCAGAGAAAAAAGUUCCCUCUCUCUCCAGAGGGUUCCUUGUUCUCCAAAUGUCAAUCAAGUCCAUAGUUUCAGUCAUUUCAAAAAAAGUCUUUGGUAGUCUCCCUUCCUUGGAAAUUACUUGUCUCUGUGCUUUAUCCAUAUUUGUGGAAACUACGCCAUUCAUGUCUCCCAUCAUUAUAAUUCUGUAGUCUAAAUAGUCCAUUAAAGUCUCAUGCAACUUCUUAAAGAAUUCCGCCUUCCCAUCAUUUGGUGCAUAGAUUCCAACUAUCAAAUUUUUUCUCCUUGAACUUGUAUUUCAAUUGCCAGGUAUCUUCCUUGUUCAUCUUUAAAUAUCAUCUUUGGAGCCAAUUUUUCUUUUGCAUAGAUCACCACGCCUCUUUUCUUAACUUUAUCUGAUGAAAUAAAUUCUUGUCCAAGUCUCUUAUUUACCAAUAAUUUCCGAUGUGUCCUGGUCACAUGAGUCUCUUGUAGGCAUAUUAGAUCUAAUUGUUCUCUUUUCAAAAUAUGAAAAACUUGGCGUCUUUUUCGGGGAGGUUCAAACCAUUACAGUUCCAGCUAAGAAGUUGCAGAGACAUUUUGUUAUUAAGUACCUGUUCCUCCGACUGCUCCUAGCUUUUGUUCCUCUUCAGGUGAUGGUAUGAGUCCAAAUGACAAGUUUGCAAUGUCUGUCACUCCUUUUUCUUGUAUUGUUGUUUCUACUGUUCCUUUCUGCAAGUCCUCCUGAUAUCUCUCCAGAAACUGUUCUUUAUCUUGAACUGUUCUUAUUUUAACCUUCCUUCCUUUGAAAGUAAAAGACAAUCCUUGUGGAAACUCCCACCUGAAGGGUAUGAUGUUUUUCUUCAGCAGGUAGACCAAAUCUUUAUAGAAGGCUCUCACCUCCAAAAUAUAUUUAGGGAUAUCUUUAAAAAUUUGUACUUGACUAUUUUCAAUCUCCAAUGCCUUUUGAUAAUGCAAAUUCAAUAUCUUAUCUCUUUCUCCUUUGGAUCUCAAUGUGAUCAAACAAUCCCUUGGCUUCUUACCCUGCCUCCUGCCGAGCCGGAAAGCUGUUGUUAUUUCAAGUUCUUCUUCCUGCAGCUCCUCUUGCCAGAAUUCCAUAAAGUUCUGUGUAAGAAAAUCCACAAGGUUGUCUCCCUCACACUCCGGAACCAAUCUCAAUUUCAAAAUUCUCUCGUUUCUCUGUAGUUCCAACCAAGAUAGAGCAGCAUCCUGGUAAUUCACUUUGUUGUAAUCGGCACAAGCUCCUCCCUGGUCUCCUCCGCGGUAUUUUUGCACUUUCAGCAAUCUUUCGUGUUUCAGAACUUUCUUGAAUUAGUUUAUUAAUAGAUUCUGUAUUAGAUGUUACACUUGCAGUAUUCAAGUCCAAUCUUGCUGUCAGUUCUGUCAAUUUUUUGAAUUUUCCGUAGAUAGCUUUGUCAGUGCUUCUAAAGAUUGGUUUAUUUUGAGCAGUGCCUGUGUCAUUGAAUCCAUAGAUGCUGUUGCCACUUUUUCCUGUGCAGCUGGUGGUAUGCCGGGUAUUGAGCCCCUUUUCUUUUGUGUCUGUUUUGCUUUGGAUCUAGUUGUUAUCUCUUCUGCUGGGCCACUCAUAUCCUCAAGGUCGUUCUCACAGGAAAAACUUGCAAGUGGAAAAUCCCACUGUUUCUUUUUCACUGUAACAGUUUCUCUUUAUACCCUCUAGAGGGAGCAUUUAAUUGUAUCCAAGUGAAAAGAGAAAAACAAGGAAGCACAGAGCAAUCAACAAAAAAAAAAGUCCAAGAGUCCACAGUGAAAGUUUCUGUCGCACUUUUUUCAGUAAAUCACAAGUUCAACAAAGUAAUUCCAUUAAAGUCCCGUAACUUUGUCUCAGACAAGACCCCAACUUUGUAUCCAGUCUAAACUGACAGUUCACUUUGCCGGUGCCUUACUCAGGCAGUCCGUCCUGGGGGUUUGGCAAUGGAAGAUGUUUUUUUCCCUCAUUUAAUUUCAAGCAGGUUAACAGUGUCCAAUUUUCUUCCCCCUCUCCUGCUUACUGGGGGAGGUUUAAGUCAAAUGUCAGGUUUGACAGCUUAAAGGUAAUUUUCUUUCAAAUGCAGCUUUACUCUUUCGUUGCUUUACUUGCCAUGCAGAUCGGUAGGCAGACUUCCUUAAUUUAUGCCUUUCCCGUUUUCAGCCAAAUUUCAAGAUUUAAAUUUAAAUGUCCCUUUCAGUCCCUCCGUCUUACUCACGGGCUUUAGAGUCGAAUUUCUGGUUCAGGAAGGAAUCGGCGCUCUCCGCUCAUGGCGACGCGGCUUCACUCCACGGGCUGGGUUGCGACUCUCAGCACCGCGCUCACCCCCGAUGCCGCUCCGUAGCCUUUAAAAAGGCUCUUUCACAGUACCGGGGGGCGCAAGGUGCCCACCGAGUCUCCUUGUUCACAGGCUUCCGCGCCUGUGAUUUUAGGGGUCCCCCGCUCGCCGUAGCAGGUCAGACCCGAACUCGCGGAGCAGUCCUCCUCCGGAGCUCGAAGGGAGGACCGCCAUUAAGCGCUGGCGCCGACCGGAAGUCGAUUACUGCUGGUUUUUUAAUACUGGGAGUAGAUCACAGUCUCUUGGGAGUUGGACAUGCCUAGACCAAAUAGGAAGAGAUGAGCAGCAUCUCUGGAAAUUGCUCCUGGUAUCAAAAUAUUUCUGUGUGUCUAAUUCUCAGCUUGGAAAUUUCCUCAACUGAUGGACAGCUGCUCUGAGUGACUUCUUGUGCUCCAUUAUCUGCAAAGCCCAUGGCUUUCUAAAUACAGAGGAACAUUUUAGGGAAGUCCUCUAACAGGAUUUGAUCUGUUAUGAUAUUUGGCUGUUUCUUUCCUGUGCUUAGAAAUAGCUACAGAGCAAAAUUUAAUUAUUACCUUUGCUGAGCAUAAUGAUGAUGGUUGCUGAGCAUGACCUAUAUUCACUGGAUCAUAGCCAGGACCACAUUCGUGUAGCUCAGGUGCAUAUCUGGAAUCAGAAAGCCCCAAGGACUGCAAUGGUUUCCUAUAGGAUUCAGGUAAUGUUAGAUGCAAGAAGUGUGGCACUCUUGCACACAGCACUCCCCAACACACAGGGCAAAGGUCAUCCCUCAACAAAGGCCUAUCCAUUCACUGAAACCCUACAAAUUGUUGCGCCUCAGUUGUAGAAGCACUUUUCUGGACAUCUGAAAGUUUCUUGCAUUCACCUCUGAAUUUUCUUGAACAUUUGUGCAAUGUCUGUGGGAUAUUUGUGACAAGAAUAACAGAUUGCACCUGAAUAUGGAGCAUAGGUCAUUCAACGGAGGACACCACAGAAGUAAUAUGUGAUUCAUGAGGCUAGUCAGGCUGUGCAACUAACACCAGUAAACAGUUUAUGAAUAAACCCCCAGCAUAAAAUGGUUCCAUAGCAGAGCUUUAGAGGACACAAGGAGCAAGUCAAGAGCUGCAUGAAAUGCACUUCGUCUUCUAGGCAUGGAUGUAAUUGAAGAUUCAGUAUCAAUUUUGCUGAGUUAUUUUUAAUUGUUCUAAUUUGCUGGAGCAAAUUAGGUGUAGCAUUGUUCUCAGCAGGAGAUAUACAUCUGUGCAAAUAAGUAUGAUAAUAUGCACUUUACAAAAAAAAGAAAACAACUCACAAUGAAAAAUGGCAAAGCCACUUAGUGUAAAUUAAUUAGACUUCCUGCCCUUCUAAAAUUAGGAUGCGGAUAUUUUUGAAUAGCUGGGAUAUGAUGAUUAACUAUGGCUUCUGUCAAGGUCAAGAAAAAAUACUCCCAAAUACUAUUUGGUCCUGAAUAACGCAAAGUAGGCGAGGCUUUUGUUGUCAUUUAACAAAAUGUAUAUACAGAACAGAACAAGAUUGACUUUUCUCCUUUAGCUCACCUUUGACUCCCUCGUCAUCUAAGGGUCCAACCCAUUACUGCAACAUUUCCUCUCUUGAAUGCUUCCUUGAUUUCUUUCUCCAUCACCAGAUCUCCCUCAGCAUUUCGAUCUGUGGGAUAGCAGCCCACAGAUUACUCUUGGGGCCUGGUAUCACCACCCACAAUGAUUCUGUGGAGGAGCUUGCUUGCUGGAUUCAGUGCCAUCCUCGAUGUACAGAGUGAUGCCACCUCCAGUAUGUCCUACCUUGUCCUUUGGUCAUUCCCAUGUUCCACUGGUUCCCUCCAUUUGCUUGCAUGAAUCUUGCAUUUGCUUCCUCUGCUCCCUGCUGGAGCCCCUGCACACACACCUGAAUCUACUCCAGGGAGUUAGAGAACCCCACAGAGCAGUUAUGGGAGCAUGGGAAAGGAAAGGAUAGAAAGGGGAAAUCCUGUUGUAUUUGUUGGUGCACCAUUGGCUCUCCCCCUCUAUUUCUGGCUUUACCCUUAUAGCAAAAUCUGCAUGAAUAAGUGUAUGCCUUAUUAUGCCUGGGGGAAAGGGGGGGAGGCCUAGCAGAGGGCAACAACCUAUAUAAAGUAAGGAGCUCAUAGCUUACAAGUUAAUGAAGUAAUCUUUUAGUGUUACAACAUGUCUCUGCCUAUGACAACUGCAAGAAAACAAAUACGUAAUAUACAAUUCAGCAACAGGGAAGAUUUUAUAUCUCUGGACUAUAAAAUGUUAAUGGGAUUACAAAGGAUCUGAUUUGUGUAGUUAAGCUUCAUUCUCAUAGUUCUGAGAGCAUUGUGAGAUAUAUUGGUGGCAGUGACUUCUAAUUAUUGCCACAGCAUGCACUGAAUAUCUCUAAAUUAUUUAUGUAGUUUGCAUAAUUCUGCCUCUUUCUAUAGACAGAUAUAGGAGCCAAGUCAUCCCUCAGAGGUCUUCAUUGCAUUAAUAUAUAUGGUCAAUAUGCAUUCGUGCCUAGCCCUCACCUGAUUAAUUAUGAUCACAGAGGUUGCGUAGUCUCCUUUUUAAUUUAAGCCUUGGUUGAAAACUUUAUGGUGGUACUCAGAAUUAAAUUAUUAGGCUGGGUGGAAAUAAAUAUUUAAGUGUCAUGCGGUUUUAAUUGAAAGCUUGAUCCCAGAACAGAAAUGAAUCAAGAGUAACAAGUCUUUCUGGAUCUGAGACGACACUGGUUAUUUAUGAAAACUAGGCUAGAAUAAAAUCCCCCUUUCCUUCAGGAAUUGAUAGGGUAGAUUGCAGACACAGUGAAAGGACAGGGCUUUUUUCUUUUCUUUUUGGAACUAACCUCUUAAUGUAGACAUUUUAUUAAAGGGAUAACCAUUUGUGGAUGAACUCUAGCCUAGCUUGUUGAACUGAAAGUCACUGUUCCAGUCUCAUCACACACCCACAACCCACAUCAUGUUGUGUGGCAGGUAAGGAUGGGGGAGAAGAUAGUUCAACCUUAAUGCAACCCUACCCAAGUUGCACUUUUUGAAGCAAUAUGCUGUGAUGCAGUUCUCCAAAGAGCAUACAUAUAAUCCAAGAACACAUCCAAAGAAUGUGUGUACUGUGUUGUGUAUAUCUAGCGAAACUCUGCAUUCAAAAGCAUAGAUGAGUGAAAAUAACAUUAUGUUUGGGGGGAAUUGCUUGUAAAAAAUGUGCAUAUUAGCAGAAACGGGCACUAAAAUGCUAAUGGAUUCAUAGGAGGAUUCACCGCCCCCCCAAAAAACCCAAGAACUGAUGCUGAAAUGUGGAAGACUGGACUUAAGAUAGGAAACCAACAGACACUGAGGGAGUGCUAAGCCCAAGUCAUACCCCACCAAACCAGUCAACUCUGGCUCCAUUAGUCAGGCAUGCCACCCAGGGUGUUCCAGGUCCUCCCUACUAGGCCAGUAACACCAAGAGCAGCCCCACAUAGAGCACAUUAGAGUUACUAGCCUUGGACAACAGUGGUUGGGCAGGAAUGGCCAUAGACAAAGCUGGUAAAAGGCAUUUCUUAGCCACAGAGGACACUUGGGCCUCUAGUGACAAAGAUGUGUGCAGGAUUAACCCCAAGCUAUGCAAUUACUCCUUCAGAAGGAGUGCAAACCCCAUCCAGAACAGGUAACUUACCAAUUUCCCGAACAUGGGAAACUAUUGUUGCUAUCCUUUAAAGAUGUCACCUAAGAAAUAAUGACGGAUGCUCUGGGCGGUAUCCAGCUAACUCAUUCUGUCAGGACAAAGAUUUCCACUUGCACAAUGAAUGUUCCCCCUCUCCCCCCCCCCCCGUACACCUACUAAAUCUGUUCUGGGUUUUUCUGAGCAGAUUUAGGGAAGGUGCAGAGUGCACAUGGGGACAGGAAGAGGGGAGAAGUUCAACUGAGCAAGUGCACUUACAGAAUAAGUUGGUUAGAUGCCACCCCAUAUAAAGAAAAAUAAUUUAUAAGCACAAGAUAUCAGGAUUGAUGCAUACAUAUAAUCCAAGAACACAUUCUUUCAGGAGCAAAGAAUUAUGUUUGUGUCCUUGGGCUAUCUGCAGAAAGAAAUGUAUAUAAACCUAAGUGGUCCACUAAUCCUAUCAUUAGAGAAGUCCCCCCCACCCUGCUACAAGAUCUGACAAGUGAAAAUUAAAUGUUAUCCUAUGGCAAGCUUUGAAAGAGUCUCACCAUUUGGAUACAGGGAAGAAUGAUGAAAGUGUUGCAUUGCUAGGGACAAUUUCCUGAACAUGGAUCAGUUUAGGAGUGGUUCUGCUUCACAAACCAAUCUCUCACAUUUUAAAGACAUCAACACUGUCAAUGCCUGUUAACGGACUCUUCCAUUGUCCUUCAGGUUUUUAAAAUCAUGUUUGCUUGAUAGUGUUAAUGAACCACCUUUUAUAUUUUGUGUUUCACUCAUAUAAGCCAACAGGGGCUGAGCCAGGAGUCCUGUCUCUUUUUUUACCUCCUAAAGAAGAUGAGUUUCAGUGCAUAACUGUUCAUAACAUUCAUAACAACCGACCAUUGUGCACAUUCAGCAGGUCUCAUGGAUAAUGUGCACAUAAUUCUUCCAGAAAGAAGGAACUGUGCACGAUUCUCAGUCAAUACAGAAUCACCAACAGGUCUUGGGAAAUGUGUGUAUACGGACCAAACUUUGCACAUUCUUCAGCCAUUAUGCACAAUCCCAAUUUUGAACAAUGGGAAAUUGUAUGAAAAAUGCACAUGUCCAUGAAAUAUGUAACAUCAGAAUACCCCUCAGUUGCUUCAAAAUGUAAGAGAGAGAAAAAGCUGCAGACCAACCAUGAACAUUUUACUGAAAUUUCUCUUCCACCCCUUUAACAAUUUUCUGAUGCAAUUUAUUAUCUCAUUAUUUGAUGGGAAAUGGUUAAAGAAACAUGGGAGGAAUUCUUGGCACAGCACUAAAAGGAACCGUUUUUGUACCUGACGAGACGAUGGGCUUCAGCUUACUAAGCAGUUCUGAAGAAAGAGCAUCAAAGCUAGAAAGCCUACACACAGUGGCAAGUUUCUCUCCUUCGCGCAAAGUAUUAAUGCUUAGCUCUCCGCCUUGAAGCUAGAUAACAAUGCUUUAUUUAUUUCCUGGCACAGCAAUUGCUCUUUGUUACUCAGUGGUCUCAGUGAAUUAAUGGAGACCAGAGGGGAGAAGAAAAGAGAGACUAACAUCCAUUUCAUGGUUGGCAUUUCAGCCUCAGUUCUUUGUAAUGAUUUCCAUUUAUCAACAAUCAGCUACUGAUUGCAGCUGCCCACCUCUUCUUCCUACCUGAACCAAGGUAUACCUGCAAGCCACUGUUUUCAUUUUCCAUUUGGUUCAGACCAUCCCCACUCGAUUACUACUUUUGCUGAUGUCAAAGCUGUGAUGACAAUCAGCAAAAUGGAGAGAAUCAAUCUGAAUUUGUAUUUCACUUCUAACAGUGGGCGUUAAAGGAGUCCCGGGAUUGCCACUUCAAGCAGAAUUUAAUAAGUAAUCCAUAUUAUUUAUCCACAGUUUACAGGGUCUGAAAUCCUGCAGGAAAGCUAGCAUCCUCAGUGCCUCCUGAUUCAAUGAACUCACUGCAUCGUUUCCUCCAGUUUCGCUCUUCAGUAGGUGUUUUGGACUACGGUUGCCGCAAGCAAAAGACAGAGAUAUGUUGUAAAUUAAGGUAGCUAAAUAAUUAACCCCGUUAAGGAGUCUCGGAGGGCAAGUUAAUAAAGUGCUCGCUGGGACCUGUGGACAAUGAAUUAUAUCUCCCACCACUGUGUCUACAUGGGCUGGAGAACUAAUUUUAUGCCACUGUUACACCCCUGGGCUUAACUGUUAGUGAUCUUGAAACGGGGUGACAUUGCUCUGAUACAGAGCAUAAUAAAUAUGUUUUGCACAAGGG
rnacentral:lncRNA from 1 species